UACGUAGGGGGCUAGCGUUGCUCGGAAUCACUGGGCGUAAAGCGCGCGUAGGCGGACUCUUAAGUCGGUGGUGAAAUCCUGGAGCUCAACUCCAGAACUGCCUUCGAUACUGAGAGUCUCGAGUCCGGGAGAGGUGAGUGGAACUGCGAGUGUAGCGGUGAAAUUCGUAGAUAUUCGCAGGAACACCAGUGGCGAAGGCGGCUCCCUGGCCCGGUACUGACGCUGAGGUGCGAAAGCGUGGGGAGCAAACAGG
rnacentral:rRNA from 1 species